rnacentral:sRNA from 1 species
UGGCAGUAUUGCCAUCAUUGGUUGUUCC